GGGUCCGUAGCUCAGCUAGGUAGGUUGAAUGGUGGUUUAGUGUCCGCCAUCUUCCCUAGAAAGAGCGUCUGGCUUUUAACCAGAUGGCCGGGGGUUCGAAUCCCCUCGGACCCGCCA
rnacentral:tRNA from 1 species